ensembl:lncRNA
AAAAGGUCCGUUUUUUCAUUUUCUGAGACCGGAAGUGGUCAUCAGCAAGUGUGGAGCCAGAGAGCAGUGAUUGGUCAGACCAUAGAUAAUAUAGAAGACAGGACGUUUGGUAGCAUCUCUGGCUGCUGUUGACCUUGUUUUUGGAGUAAAACACGGUGGAAGCUGAAUUAGUGAGGAUGACUCCUGCUCCUGUCAUCUCUAAGCUCCUCACACAUCUUUACCUGCACAUGAGGAAAAUCACUCCUGUAGAAUGCAGAUGUUCAGAGGGAGAUGAUGCCACAUCUGGUCCAGCUGAUGGAAGGUCUUGAAGUUCUCUGACUGGCCUGGACUGAAGAUGGUCGUCUCACUGGAUUUAAGGUUCAGAUGCUCAGUAACAAACUCCACCAAUGAGCCAACAGGGAAGCUUUAGGUUUAUUAAAUGUUGCUAUGAAGGUUUCGCUGUUUUUCUUUGUGAAUGCAAUGAGCUCCAACUGAAACUUAAAUUAGAACUUAGAAGUAAAUCCUUCCAUCUGAAAUGAUUUAGUUGCAUUAAUAACCUCAUAAUAUUCUAAUUUUUAUUCCAGUCUUGGUUGGAAAUAGAAUCUCUGUAUUGAUUCAGGUAAAAACUGAACUUCACAGCAUGUUGGAGCAAAACAACCAGAUGAAAACUGUGAUGGUGUUGGAUUGUCAGACUGUAAUGUUGCAGCUCAAAGCAGCUUUUCUAGCUCAGUUCAUUCUGACAUUCAGCUAUGAAUCAACACAGCAGAUGGUGAUCCAUGCUGUGGAAGUCUCACAUCUCCUGAUUUAAUGGAGCUGCUUUGCACUUUUUACACUGUUUAUUCACCAACACUUUAUUUAAUAAAAGUCUCAUCUAGUUUUUAUGAGGAAUGUGAUGUUUUAAUUUCUCUGUGAAUAACUGCAGUCUAAUGCAACAGCUGGAAUUGUAACAUCUGUCCUGAUAUUGAUCAUGAAGUAUUGAUCAGAAUACUUAUGGUCAGCAGUCAUCCCUGAAAUUUUACAUUAAAAUCUUUACUUGUGUUGUGAACUUUGGUAAGAAGCAGAAACUUUAGCGUUGCCAUGGAUACAUGAGUGUUAAAUUCUGUCCAUGUUUCAUUUUGGGAAAUUUAGUCCAGCAGAUGAGUUUGUUUUUACUGCCAGGUACCAUUCAUUCUCUACAUGAGAACUUUAAUUAUUCUUCAUCUACUUCCUGAAAAGUUUGGUCAAUAAAAAAGACAAAAACUAACUAAAGACAGACUUUGUGAUUUUUCUGCUCACAUGUUGUGUUGUUGUAAACUUUCUCUUUCAAAUAAAUAUCCUCCUAACCCCCUGGAAACCAGCGUUUGUCCUGUUUUUGUGUUGCUCCUCUGCGACCCUAGACAGCCGGGUCCUAAUGUUUUUUGAGCAACACACCAUACUAUGAUGUUUUUACAAUGAUGGUUCUACUAUGGAACCAGUUUGACGUGUUCAGGUGUUCUUUGUGUGAAAACUCAGAGAUUUCAGGUAUCAGAAGGUGGUUUUCAACUUUCUUUGUUAACUUUCUGCUUCAACUUUAAACUAAAUUUCCUUGACUAAGCCAGCUCUCUGGACUUCCAGUAAGCUGUGUUCCUAUUGGCUGUCCAGGUGGCUGCUUGGUGUUAUCAGGAACACCUUAGCAGCUCAGUGUCUUCCUGCUUUGUUUAGCUGCAGACAAACAUUUCCUCUGUUUCUCUUCACCAGUGAACCGGGUUCGGUUCUGUUGCUUUAGUUUGUUCUUUAGGCGUUGGCUUGCAGCUUCCAGCAGUAAAAUCAUCUUUAAUGUGUUUCUUGGUGUGUUUUAGGGCUUUGUACUGAAUAGUUGUCUUGGUAAAUGUGGUUCUUUAGCCACAGUUAGCACAUGGUGCUAAUGUGUGCAGUGAUUAGUGGAUUUGGUGCAGCUGAGUUGUGUCUUUAUCUUGGCUGUAGUGAGUCUUUAGAGGUUUUUGGUCAGACACAUUCUGUAUUCUUGUUUGAGAACCAGCGUUGGUUGUCCAGAAGGUAAGAGUUCCUGUCCUGAUUCUCUGUUCUCAGAGGUUCUCUGGUAGGCUGCAGGAGACUUUAGCGUUUGGGUUGUGCUAGUUUGGUUUUUGUAUGGUUUCAUUUGGACGACUAUCUUGAGGCUCCUCCAUGUGGUUUAGUGAGGUUUUCUGGAAC